AUGAACAUUGCCCUCCUGACCCGCUGGCUCUGGCGCAUUGCCAAUGGCGAUGGAGGCCUUUGGCUCACCAUCAUCCAGAACAAGUACCUUCGAGGACAGCCUCUUGCAUUCUGUCAGCGCUCGGGCGGCUCCCAGUUUUGGCAGGCCAUCGUCCAGCUGCUUCCUGCGCUUCGCAUUGGCACAUCCAUCUCGGUUGGUACUGGGUCCACGACCCUGUUCUCGUUUGAUCGGUGGAUUGGCGACGCCCCCCUGGCCGCGCGAUUUCUGGAGCUAUUCGCCAUUGCAGUUGACCCUCGUGUCUCUGUCGAGACGGCCCUUAUUGACUUAGGGCGCCUUGCUUUCCGCCGCCCCUUUGGCCCACCUGAAGUAGCCGCUUGGGAUGCCCUCCUUCAGGACAUCCCCCUCCUCCCUAUGGACGUCGCCCACAACCCGGACGCCAUCUCUUGGCGUCUGGAACCUUCCGGCUGCUUCUCCACCAAAUCCCUCUACGCGGCCACCGCCCCCUCGACGGCCCCCGAGCCCUUUAGUUUGAUUUGGGACAUCCGCCUGCCCCUGAAGAUCAGGAUCUUCCUGUGGCAAUGGAUCCGAGGCCGCCUCCCGUCCGGCGUGGAGGUCCUUAAGCGUAAUGGACCUGGUGAUGGGAUGUGCCCC
rnacentral:rRNA from 1 species